GCCGGGCGCAGUGGCGCGCGCCUGUAAUCCACGUUACCGGGAGGCUGAGGCUGGAGGAGCGCUUGAGUUCGGGGGUUCUGGACUACAGCGCGCUAUGCUGAGCGGGUGUCCGUACUAAGAUCGGCGUCGAUAUGGUGCUCCUGAGGGAGCUUUGGGCCACCAGGUCGUCUAAGGAGGGGUGAACCGGCCCAGGUCGGAAACGGAGCAGGUCAAAUCCCCCGUGCCGAUUCAGUCGUGGGAGCGCACCUGUGAAUAGACGCUGUAGUGCAGCCUGAGCGAGAUAGUGGGACCCAGCCUUUU
ensembl:misc_RNA Metazoa_SRP Metazoan signal recognition particle RNA